rnacentral:lncRNA from 1 species
ACUUACCUAGCCAAUUUGAAAGAUUGUGUCUUGAAUAAGGUUACUUGAUGGUUUGGUUUAACCCAUGCUAAUUAGACUAGUCAUUUUGGUGACUAAUUAGAUGAGACCUAAUUCAAAAUCUCCUUGCACAUAUUAGGUCUAGCGGUCUUCCAUCAUUGUAGAUGUGUGGAUGUGCUACUGGUGUUGAUUGUUUUCAACUAGUCACAGUGGUUCAGUUACAUCAGAAAUAUGCAACCACUCUAUUAGCAAAGGGUUGCUGUAGGGUGAUGAUGGCGUUGAGCCAAAUAUCUGUCAGGUGAG